UACGAAGGGGGCUAGCGUUGCUCGGAAUCACUGGGCGUAAAGGGUGCGUAGGCGGGUCUUUUAAGUCAGGGGUGAAAUCCUGGAGCUCAACUCCAGAACUGCCUUUGAUACUAAGAUCUUGAGUUCGGGAGAGGUGAGUGGAACUGCGAGUGUAGAGGUGAAAUUCGUAGAUAUUCGCAAGAACACCAGUGGCGAAGGCGGCUCACUGGCCCGAUACUGACGCUGAGGCACGAAAGCGUGGGGAGCAAACAGG
rnacentral:rRNA from 1 species